rnacentral:pre_miRNA from 1 species
AGCUUUUUGAAUCCGUGCUGAGAUUUUAUUAGAUUCCAAUCCAUUAGGGCCGAUCAGACUUCCGAGAUAAGUGAAGUU